rnacentral:rRNA from 1 species
AUGCUUUAUACAUGCAAGUCGAACGAAGGCCCUAGCUUGCUAGGUGUCCUUAGUGGCGCACGGGUGAGUAACACGUGGGAACAUACCUUAUAGUACGGAAUAACUGCGGGAAACUGUAGCUAAUACCGUAUAUUCCAGUAAUGGGAAAGAUUUAUCGCUAUAAGAUUGGCCCGCGCAAGAUUAGCUUGUUGGUGAGGUAAAAGCUCACCAAGGCUUCGAUCUUUAGCUGGUUUGAGAGGAUGAUCAGCCACACUGGGACUGAGACACGGCCCAGACUCCUACGGGAGGCAGCAGUAGGGAAUAUUGGACAAUGGGGGCAACCCUGAUCCAGCAAUGCAGCGUGAGUGACGAAGGCCUUAGGGUUGUAAAACUCUUUCAUCGGUGAGGAUAAUGACAGUAGCCGAAGAAGAAGGACCGGCUAAUUCCGUGCCAGCAGCCGCGGUAAUACGGAAGGUCCUAGCGUUGUUCGGAAUUACUGGGCGUAAAGCGCAUGUAGGCGGAACAGAAAGUUAGAAGUGAAAUCCCUGGGCUCAACCUAGGAAUUGCUUUUAAAACUUCUGUUCUGGAAUUCAGGAGAGGAAAAUGGAAUUUCCAGUGUAGAGGUGAAAUUCGUAGAUAUUGGAAGGAACACCAGUGGCGAAGGCGAUUUUCUGGACUGAUAUUGACGCUGAGAUGCGAAGGCAUGGGUAGCAAACGGGAUUAGAUACCCCGGUAGUCCAUGCAGUAAACGAUGGGUGCUAGUCGUCGGACUUUUGUUCGGUGUCGUAGCUAACGCGUUAAGCACCCCGCCUGGGGAGUACGGUC